GUGGCGGACGGGUGAGUAACGCGUGGGUAACCUGCCUUAUACAGGGGAUAACAGUCAGAAUGACUGCUAAUACCGCAUAAGACCACAGCACCGCAUGGUGCAGGGGUAAAAACUCCGGUGGUACAGGAUGGACCCGCGUCUGAUUAGCCAGUUGGCGGGGUAACGGCCCACCAAAGCGACGAUCAGUAGCCGGCCUGAGAGGGUGAACGGCCACAUUGGGACUGAGACACGGCCCAAACUCCUACGGGAGGCAGCAUG
rnacentral:rRNA from 1 species